CUACGUGCCAGCAGCCGCGGUAAUACGGAGGGUGCGAGCGUUAAUCGGAAUAACUGGGCGUAAAGGGCACGCAGGCGGUGACUUAAGUGAGGUGUGAAAGCCCCGGGCUUAACCUGGGAAUUGCAUUUCAUACUGGGUCGCUAGAGUACUUUAGGGAGGGGUAGAAUUCCACGUGUAGCAGUGAAAUGCGUAGAGAUGUGGAGGAAUACCGAUGGCGAAGGCAGCCUCCUGGGAUAACACUGACGUUCAUGCUCGAAAGCGUGGGUAGCAAACAGGAUUAGAUACCCUGGUAGUCCACGCCCUAAACGAUGUCAAUUAGCUGUUGGGCAACUUGAUUGCUUAGUAGUGUAGCUAACGCGUGAAAUUGACCGCCUGGGGAGUACGGUCGCAAGAUUAAAACUCAAAGGAAUUGACGGGGACCCGCACAAGCGGUGGAUGAUGUGGAUUAAUUCGAUGCAACGCGAAGAACCUUACCUGGUCUUGACAU
rnacentral:rRNA from 1 species